UUAUCGUUUAUUUGAUAKSACCUUACUACUUGGGUAACCGUGKKAAUUCUAKAGMUAAUACAUGYKGGAAAGCCCSACUUCYGAAGGGMUGUGUUUAUUARAUUCAAAGCCAACGCCCCCUGGGCUCACUGGUGAUUCAUGAUAACCGCUCGAAUCGCACGGCCUUGCGCCGGCGAUGGUUCAUUCAAAUUUCUUCCCUAUCAACUUUCGAUGUUUGGGUAGUGGCCAAACAUGGUUGCRACGGGUAACGGAGGGUUAGGGCUCGACCCCGGAGAAGGAGCCUGAGAGACGGCUACUACAUCCAAGGAAGGCAGCAGGCGCGCAAAUUACCCAAUCCCGACACGGGGAGGUAGUGACAAUAAAUACCGAUAUAGGGCUCUUUUGGGUCUUAUAAUUGGAAUGAGUACAAUUUAAAUCCCUUAACGAGGAACAAUUGGAGGGCAAGUCUGGUGCCAGCAGCCGCGGUAAUUCCAGCUCCAAUAGCGUAUAUUAAAGUUGUUGUGGUUAAAAAGCCCGUAGUUGAACCUUGGGCCUGGCUGGCCGGUCCGCCUCACCGCGUGCACUGGUCCGGCCGGKCCUUUCCCCCCGCGGAACCCCAUGCCCUUCGCUGGGCGUGGCGGGGAAACGGGACGUUUACUUUGAAAAAAUUAGAGUGCUCCAGGCAGGCCUAUGCUCGAAUACAUUAGCAUGGAAUAAUGAAAUAGGACGCGCGGUUCUAUUUUGUUGGUUUCUAGGACCGCCGUAAUGAUUGAUAGGGACAGUCGGGGGCGUCAGUAUUCAACCGUCAGAGGUGAAAUUCUUGGACCGGUU
rnacentral:rRNA from 1 species